rnacentral:rRNA from 1 species
UACGUAGGGUGCGAGCGUUAAUCGGAAUUACUGGGCGUAAAGCGCGCGUAGGCGGACCUGCAAGUCGGGGGUGAAAGCCCGAGGCUCAACCUCGGAACUGCCUUCGAUACUGCGGGUCUCGAGUCCGGGAGAGGUGAGUGGAAUUCCUAGUGUAGAGGUGAAAUUCGUAGAUAUUAGGAAGAACACCAGUGGCGAAGGCGGCUCACUGGCCCGGUACUGACGCUGAGGCGCGGAAGCGUGGGGAGCAAACAGGG